UGGGGCGUCGCCAAGCGGUAAGGCACCGGAUUUUGAUUCCGGCAUUCGUAGGUUCGAUCCCUACCGCCCCAACCA
rnacentral:tRNA from 1 species